CGUCCCAACUAUUUUUGCUUUUAGUAAUCAUGCCAAUAGUUGAGCCUACUAAUCUCUCCAAAGCUAUGCCGACACCUCAACCUUCUGUUUGUCCUCCACCUAAAUUCUUGAAGGAUGAUGGUCUGACCCAAGAAUGCAGGGACUUAACAACCUCCCUUCCUUCUGAAAGAGGUUGGAUUGCCAAUCAUCUCUUUCGAUACCAAGGUUUUUGGCACCACAUUAGACAGUUACAAGGAGUUCUAACAUGUCAAAGCCACUUCCAUGCUCAAGAUUCUGAUAUCCUCCUUGUCACCACUCCAAAGUCUGGUACCACUUGGUUAAAGGCCAUAACAUUUGCCCUAUUCAACCGUUUCCUCUAUGUUGAUGAUCCUCAACAACACCCUUUGCUCGCAAACAACCCUCAUGAGCUUGUGCCUUUCCUGGAACUUAAACUAUACGUUGAAAAUCAGGUUCCUGAUCUCACCACCUUAACCUCUCCAAGACUCUUUUCAACCCACCUGCCAUCUGUCUCGUUGCCCACAUCUGUCAAGGACUCAGCUUGCAAACUUGUUUACUUGUGUAGAAAUCCUAAAGACACAUUUGUGUCGCUUUGGCAUUUUACAAACAAGCUGAGACCUGCAGAAAUGGGUAAGAGCUCCCUUGAAGAGGCUUUUGAUAAAUUUUGCAGAGGAGUGAGCUUGUAUGGACCCUUUUGGGAUCAUGUCUUGGGCUACUGGAAGGCAAGUUUGGAAUUUCCUGAAAGGGUAAUGUUUCUGAAGUACGAGGAAAUGAAAAAGCAGCCAAAAGUUCAUGUGAGGAGGUUGGCAGAGUUCUUGGGGUGUCCAUUUUCGCCAGAAGAGGAGAAAAAAGGUUUGGUGGAUUCUAUCUUGAAAUUAUGUAGUUUUAAUAACUUGAGCAAUUUGGAGGUCAACAAGAACGGGAAAAUGUCGACCGGAGAGGAGUAUAAAGCAUUUUUCCGGAAAGGAGAGGUGGGAGAUUCGAUAAAUCAUCUGACGAAUGAGAUGAUAAAACGCCUGGAUGAGAUCACUGAAGAAAAGUUGCAUGAUUCUGGUUUAAAAUUAUAAUAUCGUACGUAUGUUUGCUGUUAUCAAAAUUGGCAAUAUUUUUACUUUCACGUUGCUAUAAUGCAUAGAAUUGUCAGGUAUGAUCUGUCCAUUGGGAACCUCCAUUGUUAAGUAAGGGCUACAGUGGGAGAUUUUUGUUGGCUGGUACUGGUAUGAAUCAGUUCAUGCUCCCUACAAUGCAAGUGCAGCCAGCUCAUGUGAUUAUGAGUCUUGUACGCAUGCUGUCAUGCUAUUUUCCUUCAUUUUCAUUUCCAUAAAUUUGAUGCUUUUCAUCUAUUUUGUU